rnacentral:ncRNA from 1 species
GCAGGAGCCGGUAACGGCUUCCCGGACGAGGUGCGUCGUACCCGGUCAGCGACAAGACGGCGCGUA